rnacentral:rRNA from 1 species
AUACGGAGGAUCCGAGCGUUAUCCGGAUUUAUUGGGUUUAAAGGGUGCGCAGGCGGCCAUUUAAGUCAGCGGUUAAAUCGUGGGGCUCAACCCCAUUCUGCCGUUGAUACUGGGUGGCUUGAUUGCGGUCGAGGUUGGCGGAAUUCGUUGUGUAGCGGUGAAAUGCAUAGAUAUGACGAAGAACACCGAUUGCGUAGGCAGCUGACCAGACCGCAAAUGACGCUCAUGCACGAAAGUGCGGGGAUCGAACAGGAUUAGAUACCAUGGUAGUCCGCACAGUAAACGAUGAAUACUUGUUUUCGGCGAUAUAAUGUCGGAGGCAAAGCGAAAGCGAUAAGUAUUCCACCUGGGGAGUACGCCGGCAACGGUGAAACUCAAAGGAAUUGACGGGG